rfam:Buceros rhinoceros silvestris contig128955, whole genome shotgun sequence.
GAAAUGGCUCCACUUGGAGCCAUGAAUAAAUUCAGGAACUGUUCU